CCUCCACUCGUCGCCAUUUCCUCUCCUCUCUACCCUCUGCUCCACUUCUGCUAUUUCCUUUAGAUAAGAAGCCGAAUCAUCCCACAGGAAGAGCAAGAUGUCAUGCUGUCUCCUGUAGCUCCCCAGCGCUCAGGAGCCUUGUGGCAUUACAUUGCGACCCUUCAGGAAUAGUCUUUGCUUCUCCAACGCUCCCCGAAACCGCCAAACUGCCAAGGCUGAGGUUCAGACUGUAGCUGAUGCACGCAAGCUCCUCAUAUAUUAUUUUGCGUUGCUGUUUGCACGCAUCCAUCAGGUGGAUAUCUGCUCCAGAUCUUUAUGGAGGCCAUGGAGUAUGCUAAAGGAAGAAGGGUUGGAGAGAGAAAACAGACUUAAAAGCAGGCUGAGAGUUCAGGGAUCUUUAUGGAAGAGGAGAUAAAGAUCAAAAGAUCCAGAGGUAUCAGAUAUCUGCAGGAAACAUCGGUUGAAAAGCAUGUGUGUUUUGGUGCACACAUGAACUUACGGUUUCUGUGCCUGCAUGCACAAGAUCUACACAAGAUCAAGGAAGCCAAGCAGCUUGCCGGGCUUGUAGCUUCUGCUGAGCAUCUAUCUGGCUACCCCCUCCACAUUCUGCAUAAGCUCUCCCAUCCUCCCAUGCUUCUCCAGCCUCACGGUGACUCUAUGCGCGCAAGCCUUCCUUACUUUCGCCAUUGCUUAUGCAUCUUUAGAUUCAUCUCCAGUCUUAAGCGGCUGAUGGACCAUGCUGCCAGUUACCUUUACAAAACAUCAUGUGCGUGUUUGCACGCAUUAUGGAAGCUGGAGACUACUACCCCUUUGGGACCCUCAAGAGGUCAUUCUCUCAUUCCUGACCUGCUUCAAGAGAAGUCCCCAUCACUUUCUGGAUUGAAAGGCGACAUGAAAUGACAAGGCAAUAUGCCAACCAAGUGCAGGGACCAAGAAGACCAGCCAACCUCCUCAACUUCCAGCUGAUGCAGAUCCACAUAGAGAUCCAGCCAAGCUCAGUUAAAUCUGUGCUAGAGCAGAAGGGCUACCCAGGUGCACAGUUGACUUGUGGCCAAAAUAAAUGUUUAUUAUUGUAACUCGGAGGACCUAAGGUUGAUUCUGAGAAUCCACAUCUAAUAUAGCAAAGCAUGGUAGAAUACUUUUCUAUUCCUGCCCAGAGAGAGGAGCAGAACGAUCCCUGGACU
rnacentral:lncRNA from 1 species